rnacentral:rRNA from 1 species
UGUUUAUCAAAAACAUAGCCUCAGNNNNUAUUUGAUCUGAGGUUAAACCUGCCCAAUGUUAUAUUUUUAUGAAUGGCCGCGGUACUUUGACCGUGCUAAGGUAGCGCAAUCAAUUGGCUUUUAAUUGAAGCCACGUAUGAAUGGAAUCACGGGGUUUAGCUGUCUCUUAACUAAUUUAUCGAAAUUACUAUUUAGGUGAAAAAGCCUAAAAACAGAAAAAGGACGAGAAGACCCUUAGAGUUUUUCUAAAAUUAGGACCACAUUCCUGAAAAAGUUUAGUUGGGGCAACAUAGGAGCAUAGUAUAUAAAACCUCCUGUAAAGUAAUCUACCGAUUUUUAUAAGUGUGAAUAAACUACCUUAGGGAUAACAGCAUAAUUUAAUAACUAAGUUUGUGACCUCGAUGUUGGACUAGGAAACUGAAAGGCUAGCCGCCUUUUAGGAAAGUUNNNNNNGGGNNGGUGUUC